rnacentral:rRNA from 1 species
AUUGAACGCUGGCGGAAUGCUUUACACAUGCAAGUCGAACGGCAGCACGGACUUCGGUCUGGUGGCGAGUGGCGAACGGGUGAGUAAUGUAUCGGAACGUGCCCAGUCGUGGGGGAUAACGUAGUGAAAAUUACGCUAAUACCGCAUACGAUCUAUGGAUGAAAGCGGGGGAUCGCAAGACCUCGCGCGAUUGGAGCGGCCGAUAUCAGAUUAGGUAGUUGGUGGGGUGGAGGCCCACCAAGCCAACGAUCUGUAGCUGGUCUGAGAGGACGACCAGCCACACUGGAACUGAGACACGGUCCAGACUCCUACGGGAGGCAGCAGUGGGGAAUUUUGGACAAUGGGCGAAAGCCUGAUCCAGCCAUUCCGCGUGCAGGAUGAAGGCCCUCGGGUUGUAAACUGCUUUUGUACAGAACGAAAAGGUUUCUACUAAUACUAGGAGCUCAUGACGGUACUGUAAGAAUAAGCACCGGCUAACUACGUGCCAGCCGCCGCGGUAA